rnacentral:rRNA from 1 species
UGCCUGGCGGCAAUAGCGCGGUGGUCCCACCUGACCCCAUGCCGAACUCAGAAGUGAAACGCCGUAGCGCCGAUGGUAGUGUGGGGUCUCCCCAUGUGAGAGUAGGGAACUGCCAGGCAU